rnacentral:tRNA from 1 species
GUCUCUGUGGUGCAAUUGGUUAGCGCGUUUGGCUGUUAACUGAAAGCUUGGUGGUUGAAGUCCAGCCAGGGACU